rnacentral:rRNA from 1 species
UCCGGGUUUCUUGGGUUUAAAGGGUGCGUAGGCGGGCUAUUAAGUCAGUGGUGAAAGCCUCAAGCUUAACUUGAGAAUUGCCAUUGAUACUGAUGACCUUGAGUACAUUUGAAGUGGGCGGAAUGUGUCAUGUAGCGGUGAAAUGCUUAGAUAUGACACAGAACACCGAUUGCGUAGGCAGCUCACUAAACUGUAACUGACGCUGAGGCACGAAAGCGUGGGGAGCAAACAGG